GCAUUUAUCCCUCCUGCUUUAAAUCUUAUUUUGAUUUGUAGGUGAACAACAAUCUAAGGCCACCGACAUGAUCAUGGACAGUUGAACGGACUUGAUCGAGCAGGUGAUGAGCUCGCGGUCGCGGUGAUUAUGUCAACCAAGGGACUCCUGGGCUGUUUCUUUCCUUACCACACAAUGUGCUGAUAUCUUGUCAAACUGAACUUAAAAUUAAAAUGUUUUUCUGACUAGAAGUAUCUAUUGAUUAAUGAAUUAGAGUUCUGCA